rnacentral:rRNA from 1 species
CCCUUAGAUGUCCUGGGCCGCACGCGCGCUACACUGAGUGUCUGAGAUACGAGUCUGCCUGGUCCGGCAAGGUCUAGGUAAUCGCUAAAAGACACAUCAUGCUUGGGAUAGAUUAUUGCAAUUAUUAAUCUUCAACGAGGAAUUCCUAGUAAGCGCGAGUCAUCAGCUCGCGCUGAUUACGUCCCUGCCCUUUGUACACACCGCCCGUCGCUGCAACUGAUUGGGUGACCUGGUGAACAUCUUGGACCGGCUUGCCCAUUUUUGGACGAGUUGGAAAAGGACGUAAAUCAGGUACAUCUAGAAAUUGCAAAAGUCGUAACA